rnacentral:rRNA from 1 species
CCUACGGGAGGCAGCAGUGGGGAAUAUUGCACAAUGGGCGCAAGCCUGAUACAGCGACGCCGCGUGAGGGAUGAAGGCCUUCGGGUUGUAAACCUCUUUCGACAGGGACGAAGCUUUUGUGACGGUACCUGUAUAAGAAGCACCGGCUAACUACGUGCCAGCAGCCGCGGUAAUACGUAGGGUGCGAGCGUUGUCCGGAAUUACUGGGCGUAAAGAGCUCGUAGGUGGUUUGUCGCGUCGUCUGUGAAAUUCCGGGGCUUAACUCCGGGCGUGCAGGCGAUACGGGCAUAACUUGAGUGCUGUAGGGGAGACUGGAAUUCCUGGUGUAGCGGUGAAAUGCGCAGAUAGCAGGAGGAACACCGAUGGCGAAGGCAGGUCUCUGGGCAGUAACUGACGCUGAGGAGCGAAAGCAUGGGGAGCGAACAGGAUUAGAUACCCGUGUAGUC